CUUUCCUUCGGGAAAGAUAUAAAGUGGCGCACGGGUGAGUAACACGUAAGUAAUCUACCUUCGAGUGGGGAAUAACGUCCGGAAACGGACGCUAAUACCGCAUAACGCAGCGGCACCUAAUGGUGACAGUUGUUAAAGGAGCAAUUCGCUUGAAGAGGAGCUUGCGGCAGAUUAGCUAGUUGGUAAGGUAAUGGCUUACCAAGGCUUCGAUCUGUAUCCGGUCUAAGAGACGGUCGGACACACUGACACUGAAUAACGGGUCAGACUCCUACGGGAGGCAGCAGUCGGGAAUUUUGGGCAAUGGGCGAAAGCCUGACCCAGCAACGCCGCGUGAAGGAUGAAGUAUUUCGGUAUGUAAACUUCGAAAGAAUGGGAAGAACUCAAUGACGGUACCAUUUAUAAGCUCCGGCUAACUACGUGCCAGCAGCCGCGGUAAUACGUAGGGAGCAAGCGUUGUUCGGAUUUACUGGGCGUAAAGGGCGCGUAGGCGGCAGAUCAAGUCAGUUGUGAAAUCUCUGAGCUUAACUCAGAACUGUCAACUGAUACUGUUCUGCUAGAGUGCGGAAGGGGCAAUCGGAAUUCUUGGUGUAGCGGUGAAAUGCGUAGAUAUCAAGAGGAACACCUGAGGUGAAGACGGGUUGCUGGGCCGACACUGACGCUGAGUGCGCGAAAGCCAGGGGAGCAAACGGGAUUAGAUACCCCGGUAGUCCUGGCCUUAAACGAUGAAUACUUGGUGUCUGGAGUCUCUAUAGCUCCGGGUGCCGUCGCUAACGUUUUUAGUAUUCCGCCUGGGGAGUACGCACGCAAGUGUGAAACUC
rnacentral:rRNA from 1 species